GAUGAACGCUGGCGGCGUGCCUAAUACAUGCAAGUCGAGCGAACGGACGAGAAGCUUGCUUCUCUGAUGUUAGCGGCGGACGGGUGAGUAACACGUGGAUAACCUACCUAUAGGACUGGGAUAACUUCGGGAAACCGGAGCUAAUACCGGAUAAUAUUUUGAACCGCAUGGUUCAAAAGUGAAAGACGGUCUUGCUGUCACUUAUAGAUGGAUCCGCGCUGCAUUAGCUAGUUGGUAAGGUAACGGCUUACCAAGGCAACGAUGCAUAGCCGACCUGAGAGGGGGGACGGCCCCACUGGAAAGGGACAACGGGCAAAGAUACUUAGGGAGGGCACAGGAGGGGAAUUUUCGGAAAGGGGGGAAAGCUGGAGGAAGAAACGCGGGGGGGGGAAUGAAGGCUUCGGAUCGUAAAACUCGGUUAUUAGGGAAGAACAUAUGUGUAAGUAACUGUGCACAUCUUGACGGUACCUAAUCAGAAAGCCACGGCUAACUACGUG
rnacentral:rRNA from 1 species